UUAACGGGCUGAAAUACUAAA
ensembl:piRNA 21ur-4071 ncRNA